rnacentral:misc_RNA from 1 species
AACGCACGAGACCUGCGGACCUGCGGAAGGAUCAUUAAUGAGAAGCUGCCCCUCGUGGGUAGACCUCCCACCCUCUGUGAACUUACUUUUGUUGCUUUGGCAGGCCCGUCCUCUGGACCGCCGGCUUCGGCUGGCCCGUGCCUGCCAGAGGAUUCCAAACCCUGUCUGUCAGUGUUGUCUGAGUCUAUAUGAAAUCGUUAAAACUUUUAGCAACGGAUCUCUAGAUCGGAAGAGCACACG